CCUGGCUGCACGGCCCUUGGGAAUGGCGUGGGAUUGGGACCUGCAAAAGCAGGUCAAGAGGCAAAAAAACACGGACACAAACUGCUCCUGCACUUGACUUUCUCAAGGCUUCUUAGGAAAGGGAGUGUGUUUUCAUCUGUUUACGACGAGCUGUUUUAUAGUGUUUUUAUUGCGCGGGAAAGGAUUUAUUAUCGGGAAAGGAUGCGAGGUGGUGUGUGUUAAUGUGAUUCGGUGUGAGGUCCAAUACAAAGUGUGGAGCACAGCGGAGGAGUGGGAAGAGAAACAAGAAAAAUGAAAUGGGCCGGAGUGAGGAGAACUGAUUUUAUCUGAGUGAUGAGUUCUGCUGGCUGCAUCUCGUGGAAGGAAAAUGGGUUGGGAUUGCAUUCCUGCAAGCAAUAGUGAGAGGUUUUAACAUCUACACUGACCACGCAGCAGGGAAAUACCCUGCUGCGUUGAGCAGGCACAAACCUGACCAGCAUGUGUGGGGAUGUUUGGCACCAGUGCUUCAAAGGAAUACAUUGUUCACUCCGCUGUAAAGAAUUCCAGGCAGACAUGACGAAAGGGACAUUGCAGCUCAAGAAAAGAGACGUCCCGUGCAGCAUUGAUGAAACGCUGUUUGGAAACCAGGAACGAGCAAACAGGAAAGCUCUUUAACCAUUGAGGAGAUAGGAUCCCAGCAUGUUUUUGGCACCGACGGGAACAAUGGGGUGAUGUCACAAGCCAGAAUUCCCCACGGUGGAUGGAAGCCCAGCAAAUAAUCAUAAUUCUUUCUUGGUACAUUAGUGAAAUUUUUCCACCAUUGGUCAUCCCCCACUGAGUCCCUGUUAGGAAGUAUAGGAAGGAGACAUUGUCAAAUGGAGUUUCCUUUGGGAGAACCGUGUCUCCCCUCCCCAUCAGCUGUUAUAAAUCACGGCUUUCUGCUGACUACAAGAAAUUCCAGCAGAGCAGCUCUUGCUGCCUAAGCAGUGCUUUGCCCCAUAAGGAAGGGUGCACAAGGAGGUCUGGAUUCCUCUAGGGCAGAAGCAUCAUUUGCUGUCCAGCACUUUCAGCCUACACAGCAUCAGUACAGAGCUUUGUCUUUAUAGUUUCAGAAGUGCUGAGAAUGGCAGGGAGCUUAGAAGACACCAUCCUGGCCAAACAUUGUGGUUUGGAGAGUUUCAGCCUGUGGAAUGCUACCAAAUUGUAUGAGCAAUGCUACAGCAUCCUUCAAAUCCUAACUUCACAUUUUUAUUUUGGCUUCAAACCCAUGGAGAGUGACCUGAAGUGUACCUGAAGCACCUUGGUGCUUCAGUAUUGGUAAACCCUCAAUAUUUGUUAUCUCCAUCACAUGAGACCCCAACAUUUGGGGGACCCCAGUCCUCCGGGACUUCUGUAUUUGGUGGCUCCAGUUUUUGAAUCCCAACAUUUGGGACCUCCACAUUUGGAGAUGUGGACAUUUUGGAAGUCACUCAUUUGGCCUUCCAAUAUGGGUAAAAUCAGUGGUUGAGACCUCAAUAUUUAGGGGGAUCCUCCUUUUUCUGAAGCAGCUCUGGAACUCCCCUGGCUUCUUUUUUUGGAUAAAGGCUAGACCCACUAUGUAACUGGGGUUGCUAAUCCAUCCUCCCAGGUGGUGACAGCACUGGAACAUUAUUGGGCUGUUGCUCAAGAUCCAAGCAACUCCCACCUUUCCAAAAUUUGCUCUGCAAGCACCUGGUUAUACUCUGUGUGCAGCACACCAACUCCAGGCUGUGACUUUCCUUUUUUUGUGUGUGUGACCAUUGGU
rnacentral:lncRNA from 1 species